rnacentral:rRNA from 1 species
GAUGAACGCUGGCGGCGUGCCUAAUACAUGCAAGUCGAGCGAACGGACGAGAAGCUUGCUUCUCUGAUGUUAGCGGCGGACGGGUGAGUAACACGUGGAUAACCUACCUAUAAGACUGGGAUAACUUCGGGAAACCGGAGCUAAUACCGGAUAAUAUUUUGAACCGCAUGGUUCAAAAGUGAAAGACGGUCUUGCUGUCACUUAUAGAUGGAUCCGCGCUGCAUUAGCUAGUUGGUAAGGUAACGGCUUACCAAGGCAACGAUGCAUAGCCGACCUGAGAGGGUGAUAGGCCACCCUGGAACUGAGACACGGUCCAGACUCCUACGGGAGGCAGCAGUAGGGAAUCUUCCGCAAUGGGGGAAAGCAUGACGGAGCAGCGCGGCGUGAGUGAUGACGGUCUUCGGAUCGUAAAACUCUGUUAUUAGGGAAGAACAUAUGUGUAAGUAACUGUGCACAUCUUGACGGUACCUAAUCAGAAAGCCACGGCUAACUACGUG